rnacentral:rRNA from 1 species
CAGCCGCCGCGGUAAUACGGAGGGUGCGAGCGUUAAUCGGAAUUACUGGGCGUAAAGCGUACGCAGGCGGUUUGUUAAGUCAGAUGUGAAAUCCCCGAGCUUAACUCGGGAACUGCAUUUGAAACUGGCAGGCUAGAGUCUCGUAGAGGGGGGUAGAAUUCCAGGUGUAGCGGUGAAAUGCGUAGAGAUCUGGAGGAAUACCGGUGGCGAAGGCGUCCCCCUGGACAAAGACUGACGCUCAGGUGCGAAAGCGUGGGGAGCAAACAGGAUUAGAUACCCGCGUAGUCCCUGUCUCUUAUAC